UACGUAGGGUGCGAGCGUUGUCCGGAAUUAUUGGGCGUAAAGGGCUCGUAGGCGGUUUGUCGCGUCGGGAGUGAAAUCCACUGGCUUAACUGGUGGCUUGCUUUCGAUACGGGCAGACUGGAGGUAUGCAGGGGAGAACGGAAUUCCGUGGUGUAGCGGUGAAAUGCGCAGAUAUCAGGAGGAACACCGGUGGCGGAAGGCGGUCUCUGGGCAUGUCCUGACGCUGAGGAGCGGAAAGUGUGGGGAGCGAACAGG
rnacentral:rRNA from 1 species